rnacentral:rRNA from 1 species
UGGGGAAUAUUGCACAAUGGGCGCAAGCCUGAUGCAGCAACGCCGCGUGAGGGACGACGGCCUUCGGGUUGUAAACCUCUUUUGGCAGGGAAGAAGCGAAAGUGACGGUACCUGCAGAAAAAGCACCGGCUAACUACGUGCCAGCAGCCGCGGUGAUACGUAGGGUGCAAGCGUUGUCCGGAAUUAUUGGGCGUAAAGAGCUCGUAGGCGGUUUGUCGCGUCUGCUGUGAAAACCCGAGGCUCAACCUCGGGCCUGCAGUGAGUACGGGCAAACUAGAGUGCGGUAGGGGAGAUUGGAAUUCCUGGUGUAGCGGUGGAAUGCGCAGAUAUCAGGAGGAACACCGAUGGCGAAGGCAGAUCUCUGGGCCGUAACUGACGCUGAGGAGCGAAAGCAUGGGGAGCGAACA